GCCGGUGUGGUGUAAUUGUUUGAGCAUUGGACUAUGAUUCUAGAGACCAGGGUUUGAAUCCCAGCUCAGCCA